rnacentral:rRNA from 1 species
GCCGCCGCGGUAACACGUAAGGUGCUAGCGUUGUUCGGAAUUAUUGGGCGUAAAGGGCAUGUAGGCGGAAAUGCAAGCUUGGUGUGAAAUCCCGGGGCUCAACUCCGGGACUGCGUUGAGAACUGCAUAACUAGAGUGACUGAGGGGCAGCCGGAAUUCCAGGUGUAGGGGUGAAAUCUGUAGAUAUCUGGAAGAACACCAAUGGCGAAGGCAGGCUGCCAGCAGAUCACUGACGCUGAGGUGCGAAGGUGCGGGGAGCAAACAGGAUUAGAUACCCC